GACGAACGCUGGCGGCGUGCCUAAUACAUGCAAGUUGAGCGCUGAAGGUUGGUACUUGUACCAACUGGAUGAGCAGCGAACGGGUGAGUAACGCGUGGGGAAUCUGCCUUUGAGCGGGGGACAACAUUUGGAAACGAAUGCUAAUACCGCAUAAAAACUUUAAACACAAGUUUUAAGUUUGAAAGAUGCAAUUGCAUCACUCAAAGAUGAUCCCGCGUUGUAUUAGCUAGUUGGUGAGGUAAAGGCUCACCAAGGCGAUGAUACAUAGCCGACCUGAGAGGGUGAUCGGCCAAAUUGGGACUGAGACACGGCCCAAACUCCUACGGGAGGCAGCAGUAGGGAAUCUUCGGCAAUGGACGAAAGUCUGACCGAGCAACGUCGCGUGAGUGAAGAAGGUUUUCGGAUCGUAAAACUCUGUUGGUAGAGAAGAACGUUGGUGAGAGUGGAAAGCUCAUCAAGUGACGGUAACUACCCAGAAAGGGACGGCUAACUACGUG
rnacentral:rRNA from 1 species